rnacentral:rRNA from 1 species
AGUGAACGCUGGCGGCAGGCCUAACACAUGCAAGUCGAACGGCAGCACAGCAGUAGCAAUACUGUGGGUGGCGAGUGGCGGACGGGUGAGGAAUACAUCGGAAUCUACCUUGUCGUGGGGGAUAACGUAGGGAAACUUACGCUAAUACCGCAUACGAACUACGGUUGAAAGCGGCGGACUCGCAAGAGCGUCGCGCGAUUGGAUGAGCCGAUGUCCGAUUAGCUAGUUGGCGGGGUAAGAGCCCACCAAGGCGACGAUCGGUAGCUGGUCUGAGAGGAUGAUCAGCCACACUGGAACUGAGACACGGUCCAGACUCCUACGGGAGGCAGCAGUGGGGAAUAUUGGACAAUGGGCGCAAGCCUGAUCCAGCCAUGCCGCGUGUGUGAAGAAGGCCUUCGGGUUGUAAAGCACUUUUGUUGGGGAAGAAAAGCUACCGGUUAAUACCCGGGAGUUCUGACGGUACCCAAAGAAUAAGCACCGGCUAACUUCGUGCCAGCAGCCGCGGUAAGAC